rnacentral:rRNA from 1 species
GUCGUACAGGUCUCCGUAGGUGAACCUGCGGAGGGAUCAUUACACAAAUAUGAAGGCGGGCUGGAACCUCUCGGGGCUACAGCCUUGCUGAAUUAUUCACCCUUGUCUUUUGCGUACUUCUUGUUUCCUUGGUGGGUUCGCCCACCACUAGGACAAACAUAAACCUUUUGUAAUUGCAAUCAGCGUCAGUAACAAAUUAAUAAUUACAACUUUCAACAACGGAUCUCUUGGUUCUGGCAUCGAUGAAGAACGCAGCGAAAUGCGAUAAGUAGUGUGAAUUGCAGAAUUCAGCGAAUCAUCGAAUCUUUGAACGCACAUUGCGCCCUUUGGUAUUCCAAAGGGCAUGCCUGUUCGAGCGUCAUUUGUACCCUCAAGCCUUGCUUGGUGUUGGGCGUCUUGUCUCUAGCUUUGCUGGAGACUCGCCUUAAAGUAAUUGGCAGCCGGCCUACUGGUUUCGGAGCGCAGCACAAGUCGCACUCUCUAUCAGCAAAGGUCUAGCAUCCAUUAAGCCUUUUUUUCAACUUUUGACCUCGGAUCAGGUAGGGAUACCCGCUGAACUUAAGCAUAUC